GAUGAACGCUGCCAGAAUGCUUAACACAUGCAAGUCUUUGGCGAAGCUGUGCUUGCACCGCCUAGCCAAGGCGGACGGGUGAGUAACGCGUAAGGAACUUGCCCUGCAGUCAGGGAUAACAGACGGAAACGACUGAUAAGACCUGGUAAAGUCAGGCGGACUCAUGUCCAGCCUGAUGAAAAGAGAUGCUGCAGGAGAGCCUUGCGUCCUAUUAGCUUGUUGGUGGGGUAACGGCCCACCAAGGCGAUGAUAGGUAGCCGGCCUGAGAGGGUGGACGGCCACAAGGGGACUGAGAUACGGCCCUUACUCCUACGGGAGGCAGCAGGGGGGAAUAUUGGACAAUGGGGGCAACCCUGAUCCAGCAAUUCUGUGUGCACGAUGAAGGUUUUCGGAUUGUAAAGUGCUUUCAGCAGGGAAGAAAAAAAUGACGGUACCUGCAGAAGAAGCGACGGCUAAAUACGUG
rnacentral:rRNA from 1 species